rnacentral:tRNA from 1 species
UUCCCGGUGGUGUAAUCGGUAACACUAGGGAUUUUGGUUCCCUCAUUGGAGGUUCGAAUCCUCCCCGGGAAA